GGAUUAGUGGCGAACGGGUGAGUAACACGUGAGUAACCUGCCCUUAACUCUGGGAUAAGCCUGGGAAACUGGGUCUAAUACCGGAUAGGAGCGCCUACCGCAUGGUGGGUGUUGGAAAGAUUUAUCGGUUUUGGAUGGACUCGCGGCCUAUCAGCUUGUUGGUGAGGUAAUGGCUCACCAAGGCGACGACGGGUAGCCGGCCUGAGAGGGUGACCGGCCACACUGGGACUGAGACACGGCCCAGACUCCUACGGGAGGCAGCAGUGGGGAAUAUUGCACAAUGGGCGCAAGCCUGAUGCAGCGACGCCGCGUGAGGGAUGACGGCCUUCGGGUUGUAAACCUCUUUCAGUAGGGAAGAAGCGAAAGUGACGGUACCUGCAGAAGAAGCACCGGCUAACUACGUGCCAGCAGCCGCGGUAAUACGUAGGGUGCGAGCGUUAUCCGGAAUUAUUGGGCGUAAAGAGCUCGUAGGCGGUUUGUCGCGUCUGUCGUGAAAGUCCGGGGCUUAACCCCGGAUCUGCGGUGGGUACGGGCAGACUAGAGUGCAGUAGGGGAGACUGGAAUUCCUGGUGUAGCGGUGGAAUGCGCAGAUAUCAGGAGGAACACCGAUGGCGAAGGCAGGUCUCUGGGCUGUAACUGACGCUGAGGAGCGAAAGCAUG
rnacentral:rRNA from 1 species